GUGGGGAAUAUUGCACAAUGGGCGAAAGCCUGAUGCAGCAACGCCGCGUGAGUGAUGAAGGCCUUCGGGUUGUAAAGCUCUGUCUUUGGGGACGAUAAUGACGGUACCCAAGGAGGAAGCCACGGCUAACUACGUGCCAGCAGCCGCGGUAAUACGUAGGUGGCGAGCGUUGUCCGGAUUUACUGGGCGUAAAGGAUGCGUAGGCGGAUAUUUAAGUGAGAUGUGAAAUACCCGGGCUUAACUUGGGUGCUGCAUUUCAAACUGGAUAUCUAGAGUGCGGGAGAGGAGAAUGGAAUUCCUAGUGUAGCGGUGAAAUGCGUAGAGAUUAGGAAGAACACCAGUGGCGAAGGCGAUUCUCUGGACCGUAACUGACGCUGAGGCAUGAAAGCGUGGGUAGCAAACAGGAUUAGAAACCCCAGUAGUCC
rnacentral:rRNA from 1 species